rnacentral:rRNA from 1 species
GACGAACGCUGGCGGCGUGCUUAACACAUGCAAGUCGAACGGAAAGGCCCUGCUUUUGUGGGGUGCUCGAGUGGCGAACGGGUGAGUAACACGUGAGUAACCUGCCCUUGACUUUGGGAUAACUUCAGGAAACUGGGGCUAAUACCGGAUAGGAGCUCCUGCUGCAUGGUGGGGGUUGGAAAGUUUCGGCGGUUGGGGAUGGACUCGCGGCUUAUCAGCUUGUUGGUGGGGUAGUGGCUUACCAAGGCUUUGACGGGUAGCCGGCCUGAGAGGGUGACCGGCCACAUGGGGAAUGGGAUACGGCCCAGACUCCUAGGGGGGGAAGCGGGGGGGAAUUUUGCAAAAGGGGGGGAAGCCUGAUGCGGCAACGCCGGGGGGGGGAUGACGGCCUUGGGGUUGUAAACCGCUUUCGCCUGGAACAAAGGAGGGGGGAGGGUAAUGGGUAAAGAAGCACCGGCAAACUACGU